UCGGUAAUGUUUAUUGAGCACUACUAUCACUACUACCACUGCGUUUCGGACUUCAUUUGGCGCGAAUGGUGCCGCGUGCAAGGGAAAUAUGAGGAUGUACAAAGCAAAAUAAUCAUCGCCAACGUCCAUACCACGCUGAGAAUACCAGUUCUCGUCUGAUCACUGAAGUCAAGCAGCGUUGGGCACGGACAGUACUUGGAUGGUUGACCACUUGGGAACACCGUGUUGAUGUUGGCAUCACUUUUUUUUUGCUCCUACAAUUUAUCAAUCUCGGAACGAGAAUCUUCUCGAAGAGGACGGAGAAAUGAGGUUUCUUUGUUUCAAGCGAUUUAUCAGAUCACACAUCGUAGCUCAUGAAAUAAUGCUCACCAAGCACACCUUACGGUAUGAUCUUUUGACGAUGAAUAAAGGAAGGUUAAAGACGUGAAUAUAUCGAUCGACAAGACACGCAGCUCACAGGGUUCACCUUUGUAACUUCAAAAUAAUUGAGGAGACAAAGUCGGUUAUGCCAAGGGGAAAAAGAAGACAGCAUCUAUAUAUAUUAUGUACCUAAAAGUCUUGAAGGAUGUAAAUAGCCUUUUAAGCUUGGCGAAGGACAACAGAUUAGGGCUACUAAACUAAUCUCAGAUAUUAGAGACGUCCUAUCGAUAGGUUUCAUAUGGAAAUGUUCCUCAAAUUAGCUGGCUAUUGUUGCCAACGUCCAUACCACGCUGAAAGUACCAGUUCUCGUCUGAUCACUGAAGUCAAGCAGCGUUGGGCACGGUUAGUACUUGGAUGGGUGACCACUUGGGAACACCGUGUGAUGUUGGCAUCAUUUUUUUUUACUUCUUUAAAAUUUUGAAGAUUUUAAUCUUCCCGUUGGUACUGGUGAAAAUAUCAUUAGAAGCUAUCUGAAGCGGUUGUAUCUGACCAUAUGAGGAACCGACGGAGGUUAAGUUGUCGACGGUCCAAGCUGUUAACGAAACAACCUUCAUCAAGUAAAGCGAAUAAUUCGGCAUAUAGAAAGGUUAGAAACGGGGAGAGGUAAUAUUGGUUUAUCGACAACGUAGUUCUCGUAGUUCUCAGGGAUCUUUAUUAUUAACUUGAAAAAAUAGAUAACUAUCAAAAAUGCCAACUAUGCGGGAAAGGAAAAGGGGGUAGAAUUUAUGUAUAGUUAUACCACGUGCACACUUGUAAAAGAUGCAAGGUAAUAAGUCGAGUGAUCUUUGAACCUAUCUGGACGAUACGAGAGCGAACAUCCUUAUAAACCUAGUGAAGAACACCGGAUUAGAGCUGUGAAAAUAAUCUUAGAUAACGAGCGGAUAAUCACAAGAAGACUUAUUAAUAUCUACGUGACAAUUAGUUUUCUUCCAAAUAACUCACCUCCAAAAUUUGAGAAGUUAAAAAAGAAAAAAAAAAGUGAUGCCAACAUCACACGGUGUUCCCAAGUGGUCACCCAUCCAAGUACUAACCGUGCCCAACGCUGCUUGACUGCAGUGAUCGGACGAGAACUGGUAUUUUCAGCGUAGUAUGGACGUUGGCGAUGAUUGUUGAGCAAGCUAGAAGGAUGCCUGUACGAAACCUAUAGCGUGGUAUGGACGUUGACGAUGACACUUGCUCUCUUUCUUGAAAACUAAAAAAUUCUCAUUUAAAAAUUGAAAAAAAAAAUGAUGCCAACAUCACACGGUGUUCCCAAGUGGUCACCCAUCCAAGUACUGACCGUGCCCAACGCUGCUUGACUGCAGUGAUCGGACGAGAACUGGUAUUUUCAGCGUUUUUUUGAUGAUUGAGUCGCAUUUAUCUGGAUCAU